rnacentral:rRNA from 1 species
GACGAACGCUGGCGGCGUGCUUAACACAUGCAAGUCGAACGAUGAAGCUGGAGCUUGCUCCGGUGGAUUAGUGGCGAACGGGUGAGUAACACGUGAGCAAUCUGCCCUUGACUCUGGGAUAACUGCGGGAAACUGUAGCUAAUACCGGAUACGAGACCUGAAGGCAUCUUCGGGUCUGGAAAGAAUUUCGGUCAAGGAUGAGCUCGCGGCCUAUCAGCUUGUUGGUGAGGUAAUGGCUCACCAAGGCGACGACGGGUAGCCGGCCUGAGAGGGUGACCGGCCAGACUGGGACUGAGACACGGCCCAGGCUCCUACGGGAGGCAGCAGUGGGGAAUAUUGCACAAUGGGCGAAAGCCUGAUGCAGCAACGCCGCGUGAGGGAUGAAGGCCUUCGGGUUGUAAACCUCUUUUAGCAGGGAAGAAGCGAAAGUGACGGUACCUGCAGAAAAAGCACCGGCUAACUACGUGCCAGCAGCCGCGGUAA